rnacentral:rRNA from 1 species
CUAAAAACGUCAGGUCAAGGUGUAGCUAAUUGGGGGGCAGCGAUGGGCUACAUUUUCUAUUAAUAGAAGCCCCCAGCAGCAUGAAACAAUGCCAUAAGACGGAUUUAGCAGUAAACAGAGCAAGAAUCGCCCAAUUGAAGCUCGCCCUGAGACGCGUACACACCGCCCGUCACCCUCCUCAACAAACCAAAAUAUAAAGCUAACUAAGCCGCCCUUUACCCCAACCUUAGAUGAGGUAAGUCGUAACAUGGUAAGUGUACUGGAAAGUGCACUUGGCAAAAC